rnacentral:lncRNA from 1 species
GUUAUUUACAAGUUCUGCAUUCUGAGUCAGCACAGUUCCUUCUCACGUAGUAUUAGUUGCAUUUUUGAUUCUUAUUGUGGAUCACAGUGUUAAAGCUAUUGGUCCAUGAUGGCAGGGAGGGCGUGGCCAGGAAGCAGAGAGGUCAUUCUAGUGCUUGUUUGGCUGUCACCCUUUUCUCUUUAUUCUGUCCCCAAGCUCAUGAUAUGGUAUGUAGGCCUUCCCUUUUCUGUAACUAUUCUCUGGAAAUGUCCCAGCAGGCAAACCAAAGAGGCGCACCUUACCAGUGUCCUCAGUGAUUCUGAUUUGACAGUGAAGAUUAACCCCACAGUACUUAAGGACAGAGUGCUAGUGCUUAUAAAUGAGCUGUGAAUAACGUAACAAAGGCAGCAUUCUCAUACGUCCUC